rnacentral:rRNA from 1 species
UACGAAGGGGGCUAGCGUUGUUCGGAUUUACUGGGCGUAAAGCGCACGUAGGCGGAUCGUUAAGUCAGGGGUGAAAUCCUGGAGCUCAACUCCAGAACUGCCUUUGAUACUGGCGAUCUUGAGUCCGGAAGAGGUGAGUGGAACUCCUAGUGUAGAGGUGGAAUUCGUAGAUAUUAGGAAGAACACCAGUGGCGAAGGCGGCUCACUGGUCCGGUACUGACGCUGAGGUGCGAAGGUCAGGGGAGCAAACGGG